CAGCCGCCACGGUAAUACGGAGGGUGCAAGCGUUAUCCGGAAUUAUUGGGCGUAAAGAGCUCGUCGGCGGUUUGUCGCGUCUGCCGUGAAAGUCCGGGGCUCAACCCCGGAUCUGCGGUGGGUACGGGCAGACUAGAGUGAUGUAGGGGAGACUGGAAUUCCUGGUGUAGCGGUGAAAUGCGCAGAUAUCAGGAGGAACACCGAUGGCGAAGGCAGGUCUCUGGGCAUUAACUGACGCUGAGGAGCGAAAGCAUGGGGAGCGAACAGGAUUAGAUACCCCCGUAGUCCCUGUCUCUUAUAC
rnacentral:rRNA from 1 species